rfam:Phytophthora infestans T30-4 supercont1.52 genomic scaffold, whole genome shotgun sequence.
ACAGACGGCCAUCUUAGGCUGAAAGCACCAUAUCCCGUCUGCUCUGUGAAGUUAAGCAGCCUCAAGCUCGGGUAGUACUCGGGUGGGUGACCACCGGGGAAGUCCGGCGUGCUAGUGUA